rnacentral:ncRNA from 15 species
CCGUUCGAGGGGCGCUGCAGCAGGCCUAGGCCUGUCAGGCUCGAACGGAGCGCGCUCUCAGGCCGGCCUCGCCGGUCUGUCAACGCACCAACGGCGCCCAUUCGCA